AUGCUCAAUUUGGCAGCACAUAUACUAAAACUGGAACAGUACAGAGAAGAUUAGCAUGGCCCCUGCACAAGGAUGACAUGUGAAUUCAUGAAGUGUUCCAUAUUUUU
rfam:Canis lupus familiaris chromosome X, whole genome shotgun sequence.